CGGCCACAGUUCCGUGCCUGUGCCCCCUCCCAGCGUCUGGCACUGCCAUUCUUCAGCCAUGCCUAGGAGGACAGGCCCAGGGCUGGGUGGGGCUGCGGGUGUCGGUCCCAACCCAGGACAGGACUGAGUGUGCACAGCCCAGGCACCGGGUCCCAGGAAUCCCAGGCUGUGUGCCCUACACACACAGACAUCAGAGCACACACAUGGGCAUCACACGGGCUUGCACACGUGUCACGUGGACGUCACCACACACAGCCUCACAUGGGCACACAUAGACAUCACACACAGAUGUCACAGCACACACAGCCUCACACAGACAUCAUAGCACGUGUCACAUAGCACACAGUCAUCACGUGGACGUCACAGCUAUCACACGGCACACGGGCAUCACACGUGGACAUCACAGCACAGCUAUCACACGGCACACAGGCAUCACACAUGGAUGUCACAGCACACACAUGACCUCACGGGGACAUACAGAUGUCACAGCACACACAGCUAUCACACGGCACACAGGCAUCACACCUGGAUGUCACAGCACAUAGCUAUCACACGGCAUGCAGGGGCAUCACACGUGGACGUCACAACAUGCACAUAACGUCACGGGGACAUACAGAUGCCAGAGCACACACACAGCUAUCACACGGCACACAGGGGCAUCACACAUGACCUCACGGGGACACAUUGUUGUCAGUUGUGAGCACAUACGCAGCUAGACACGGACAUACAUGUGGGCACACACGUCAGCCACGGUCUGGCAUCUGCUCACCCUUCAAGGUCCCUGGAGCUGGCUGUGUGGGCUCUGCUCGGGCGGGGCCGCCUCUGCCGUUACCAGUAGCUCCCCCUGCUGCUGGCCCUGGUCCCAUGGAGUGGCUUGACCCCGUGUUCCCUCACUCUUGAUUUGCCACUCACUCUGCAGCCGCCUGUCCUGGGCCCAGCGCUGUCCUGGGUCUGGUGCGCAGCAGGCCCCACAUAGCCAGGCCCAGGUUGAGCUCAGACCAGCAGGCGUGUGCGUGUGCCUGUCUGUGUCUAUGUGUGUCUGUGAGAUUCUGGGAGUAGAGUCAUGUCUUGAAGGAAAGUAGAGCUGAGAGAGGGCAGGUGUGGGGAGCCCCAUAAAGGAGGGAGGAGAAUCUGGGCUGGGCCCAGGUGUGGGCUGGGAAGAUGCUCCCUUAGAGGGUUCAUGGAGAGGGUUGGGGGGGUCCCUUUUCUGAAGACCCCCUGGACACUGUGGCCCAGGUAACUGUCUCCCCAGGAGGCCCCAUGGGGAUGUGAGGACCAGGGACUCCCCUUGACCAGCCGGCCCCCCGCUUCCCAAACAUCCAGACAGCCCACCCCUGCUGGCUUGUGUCCUUGUCCCACCAGCAUGUGAGGAACAGGGACAUGUUGGGUGGUCUUGGUGAGGACAACAUACCUCAACCAGCGGAAGAGGUUGGCUCACAGAUGUGCACGGAACAUGUUUGUCUCUUCCUAGACACAGCUCUCAUGGCCUUGCUGGUGCCCCCACCAGGACCCCAGGGCUGGUUGGAGCCUCUGAGGACCCUGGAACGCUGAGGUGCCCGUCUCUUAUACCUCUGCUCGUCUGAGGCCUGGGCGACUCCGCCCAUGCCAGGGCCAUGGCACACGUGUGUGGAGGGGAGGCAGGAGGAGGCGCAGGAAGCCCAGGUGUUGGGCAGAGGCCGGGAGGGCCAGGAGAUCAGGGCUCCUUGAGCUGCCUGCCAACCCUGUGCAGAGUCAGUGCCUGGGCUGUCUCCAGAGCAAGCCCGUGGGACGGGGGCCUCGUGUGUCCCUUGCCUGCAGGGCACCGCCUGCCCUGCAGCCACAGGUCUGACGCCUCACCUGGGGUGAACGAGGGACUAGGGGGUUUGGGAAGGUGUGGGCUGUCUGUGUUUGGUGGGGGUGUCUGUAGUUCCCCUGGUAAGAGCAGGUGGGUGUGUUGCCUUUGGAGUUCUGUGUCCUUUCUCUCCUGGGGUCAGGGUCUGUGGUCCCAGCCCUGAAGGCCCCAGGCCCUUCCUGUGGCCACUCUGAGUCCUGAGGGUGGCACCUGCCUAGGCUGAGCGUGGAGCUCGGCCAAGCCUGCCCAUCUCACAGCCCCAUGCUGAGUGGGGGUUGAAGCACCUGGUCGGGGUGCUUCAGAGGGCAGGGCUGUGGCCACCCCUUUCCUUGAGGACCCCGCCUGCUGAGGCCCCCACCCAGGCCUGACCUGAGGAGUGUUGGUAGGGACUUCGGGGUGGGUCCUGGCAUCCUGGGGAGUGCAGGGUGGACCUGGCAGGUUGGGGGAUUGGCCAUGGGCAUUCUCCCCUGCAUUGGCCCAGGUCAUCCUGUGGGCCCUCAGGCAGGCACCUCUAGAGCCGCUGGGGUUGGUCCUGGGGUGCAGCUGCUUCCCUCCCUCGGCACAGCCCCUCUGCGUGUGGUGCUCUCAUGGUGACCCAGGCCAGGCCAGAGCUCCCUUGGCCACAGGACCAGAGGAGAGUGGUUCCGUCCUCUAGGGACACAAGCCCGCGGAUGCUGCAGCCUCCACCUCGUGGACAGGGACCCCCACCCCACCCCGGCCACCUACCUGGCACCUUUGACCACAGAGCACCUGCAGCCCGCACACAGCCCCUUGCCUUUGUCCCUGAGCCCCAUCCCCGCCCUCCUCGGGAGCGCCUUGUGCUCCAGGCAGGGCCAGUGCUGGUCACCAGCCACCCAGGCCCUCCCAGGGUCUGCAUGCCGCCGUCUGCCCUCCGCCGUGCACGCCUGUGUCUAGGUGGUUCUCAGCAUGGAGUCCACUCUUGUCCUGACUACAGGAAGGCUGAAGCCCUGGGCGGCGUGUGGUUCACAGUGUUGGCACCACUCAGCAUAGGCGAGGGGGGCGGCCGCUUCCUCUGCUCUGUGAGGCUUUGGUGCCCAUGACUUACAUCUCCUUCUGGCUCUUUUCCUCCCUCCCUUCUGAAAAAUGCACUAUCUUAUGUACACACAGGAAAACGUGGUACACCCAAGAACUCCCGCCCGAAGUCCGUCUGCAGAGCAGGCUCCUACAUCACGCACCCCCUGAGGCCCCCUUCUGCCGCAGUUGCCCCGUGAUGACCCAGGUCCUGCUUCCUGGAGCAGGGGCCUCCCCCAGCUCUGCUGAGGUGCCCGCCUCCUGUUGAUCGGGGUGGUGACCUGGGUCUUGUCUGUGUUUUUGCAUGACCCAACGGUUCCUUCCUGACGACGGUUCCAUCACAUGGACCCAGCAUGAUUCCCUUGUCCAGACUCUCGGUGAUGAAUUUUCUAAGUUUGUGGCCAGAAUAUCACAAAACUUCUGUGAGCACAUUUCUCUUGGAUUUGUUCCUUGGAGUGGAAUUUUUGCGUCCCAGAGCAGGACGUGGCUUCUCGCUCAGGCAGCUGCGUCCUCGCCAGCACUCUGUGUUGUGGUCUGUGUAAUUCUAGCCACUCCAGCAGGCAUUUCGUGGUAUUUUCAUCUUAAACUGCAGUUUCCUGAUAACCAAGGAGGCCAAGCACCUUUUCCUGCCCUUACUGGCCACUGGCAGUGCCUGUGUUAUGAAGCACAGAGCCCUUCACAGCUUUCCUUGUGUUUUCUGCUGUGGUCUUUUCCGUGUAGCUUACGAAGCCCUCACGUGAUCUGUGUCAUUCUCGUCAGAUCGAUAUGCACCGUGGAUAUUUUCAUAAUUUCAAAAUGUUUGUUUUUAAAUAUUUCCCAGUAUCUCAGGCCACGGCUUAACGUCUCGCUUUCUUGGCGUCCCUGCAACGAGAACACGUUUUCAAUUCUGAUGAAGCCCACUGUAUCACCUGUUGAUUUUUACAUGAAUGUCUUUUGUGUUGUGAGGAAUCUCGCAUGGUCAUGCAGGUGCUCUGUGUUUUCUUCUGGAAGCUUUUACCUCUGGAUCCAGGGUCUUCUGGGUUGCCACUCACGCGUGAUGUGAGGCUGGGGUUGUGGUCUGCCCUUUCCCAGGAUGGCAGGUCACUGCAGCACAUGUGGGGUCUCCUUCCCCUUGGCUUGUUUGUGCAAAGGCAGCUGGUCACAUGUGAGUGGGUCCGCCUGGACACUUCUGUUCCGUUGAUCUGUUUCUCUUCCCUGUCUCCUGUACCACACAGUCCACACGGCAGUGAGCCUGGAGGUCUGGCAGGCGGUGUUCCCUGUCUCCUGUGCCACGCCGUCCACACGGCAGUGAGCCUGGAGAUCUGGCAGGCGGCGUUCCUUGUCCCCUGUGCCACGCCGUCCACACGGCAGUGAGCCUGAAGGUCUGGCAGGCGGUAUUCCCUGUCCCCUGUGCCACGCCGUCCACGUUCCCUGUCCCCUAUGCCACACUGUCCACACAGCAGUGAGCCUGGAGAUCUGGCAGACGGCAUUCCCUGUCCCCUGUGCCACGCCGUCCACACGGCAGUGAGCCUGGAGGUCUGGCAGGCGGCGUUCCCUGUCCCCAGUGCCACGCGGUGGACACGGCAGUGAGCCUGGAGGUCUAAGCCUGGAGGUCUGGCGGGCAGCAUUCCCUGUCCCUUGUGCCACGCCGUGUACACGGCAGUGAGCCUGGAGGUCUGGCAGGUGGUGUUCCUGUCCCCAGUGCUACGCGGUGCACACGGCAGUGAUCCUGGAGGUCUGGCGGGUGGCGUUCCCUGUCCCCAGUGCCACGCCGUGUACA